UAGAGUGUGACACUUUGAGCCUAGAAUAUUAAACCUUUUCACAAUUCUAAUUUUAAGCUGCAUUAAUGCAAUUCCUUUUAAUUUGCAUUACUGAAAUGAAUUUUUGCACGAUAUUCUAAUUUUUCGAGAUUCACCUGUGUAAGAUCAAGUUUUUGCUGCAGUAAUUUUGUUUAGCAAAAUACUUUUUUUUUUUUCUUGUGUUUUCUAGAACACAAGGUCCAUAAUUGCCUUUUUCAGAUAUACAAUUUAUCUGUAUGAACAUGUACAUUGCUUUAUAAUAAACUAACCUUGUUCUUAGUUUUAGUGAUUAAAAAAAGACUGGAUCCAGGUUUUAAUUAUUCUCUAUUAAAACCUAAAAAGAUGGACACCGGUGACUAGCCAUUUUUUCAGAGAGACCCUCUUGGCUUUCCAUACACAACCAUAUGCAACAUUAAAAUCCCACAUUAUCAUAAUUGUAUUAACCAAUGUUACUAGAACAGUCAUGAUACUAUAAAAUGUGACCACUAUAAAUGUUGCUGGUGGACAGUAUCGUAAAAAUACUCCAACUGGAUCUGUCUCAUAAAAUAUUCUGUCCUUAACUGAUGCAACAAUAAGUAGAGGUUGAAUAUUUGUCUCUGGUGCCAAAUAUCUCUGAAAAAAAGUUUUCUGUUAUCACACUAGAAGUCAAGCCGCUAAUGCAAGCUUGUGUCCGCUGUAUUCAUCCACUGCACUGUUACUCAGUGGCAAUCAUUUGUUCACUGCUUGUGAAGGCAGAAAAUAACGCUCUCCUUAGGGGGCCGUUCACGCAGCAGAUUUUGUCCACAGAAUUUUGGGGCGGACACCAAGCAAAAUUCUGGUGACAGCUGCAUGGUGUCCUGAAGCCUCUUGUUUUCAGUGGGAGGCAGUGCUGCAUUCCGCAGGCUGGUAGAUGAAAGCUGGGACUACACAAAGAAUAGACAUGUCUCUUCUUGGCAUGGCCUGUGGCUAGCUGCCGCAAGCAGGAAUGUCAUCUGAAAUGAAUAACCACAGCAGAAACUGCUGCGGUAUAUUAUGAGGCUUUUGACAGCGUUGGAGGACCUGUAACCUUUCCUGACAUGUUUAGCAACUACUUGAAUUCCCCUUGUAGUAGUUUUGGCGUAUAUGACAAUUCCUUUAUUAUUCCUGCUAGAAGUUAUUGAUUACUAGCAUUUUGCCAUGAAGGUUCAGAUGGGUGUGUGGCCCUGCACAGUGACACCAUCCAAGCAGUGCUGAUGGCAAACUGCAGGGACACACCACUACCUGAAAAACAUAACUUCUAGCAGGGAGACUAAUGAAUGACAUAAUGUAGUCAUAAGAUACUCCAAAAUUAUUACAAGGGGAACCCAAGUAGUUACUAAGACAUUUCAGCAGUGGCGACGGGUUCUCCCUAAUCCAGUAGACACAAGCAUUGAAUUGCAGCACUCCUAGUGAAGUAACCUAAAAAGCGGAAAUGUUUUUGAAACUUGGCAUCACAGAUAAAUAAUAUCUCUACAUUUCUUAUACUGCCGUUAACUAGGUUACAGAUCUGCCUUAAGGCUGUCAUGAGAAACUCCACGUCUUUAAAUACAACAUACAAAAAAUAGUUGUAAUGCAAGUUUCGAAGGUUUUACAUAUAAAUGGUUGUCUCAUCACUUCGGUCCGUUUUAUCCUUCCUAGGAGUGUUAAUUCCUAUGGCAGGUUGAGGUCUGGCUGCAUGGUGUAAGCCACAAUAAUAGAGAGACAAAAUUAAACUUGUUAUUUGUAGUCUAAUGGAAAAAAAGACUGGACAGUUCCCAUGGGCUGCGGACAUCGUACAAAUGCCAAGGUUCCUUAACCUUAUUAAAGAAAAGAAAAAUCAUGCAAGAGACUCAGGAUGUGUAAAUCAUGCAUCGCAAACCAGGUAACCUAAUUCCCUAAUACUGCUCUCCGCACGUUAAUGUAUCAAGACAAACGUCCUGUGCAGUCUAACUGGGAAACUGCCUAGAAAGCUGAAUCGGUUUGUGACUAUCUAGGCUUGCUAGUUAAAGUGUACAGGCUGUAAAUAUUUCAUGUUAAUAUCCAUAUAAACUGAUAGCAGAUUGAACGUUAUCUACAGAAUUUAUCAAAAAGCUUUAAAAGCCAUGUAAAAAAAGAACUGGAACAGUUUUUACAUUAAAUGGAAGUUGACAUAAAAAGGUUUCCAAGUUGCCUUUAAUGACAAUAGCCUUUAAAUCUGCUACCUUUUUAAUAAUAAUCUGCUCCGUUAUUGAAAGUAUUAAAAGGAAAAAGAAAAAAAAAAACUUCAACACACCCUGCUCCUACAAUUUAUUUUGCUGGUUUUUUUUUUGGGUGGGGGGGGGCAAGGUGGGGUAUUCCUUUGGUCAACUUACUAUUUGAAAAGCCUGCCCAGCUUUAACAAUCUGACUCUUCUGUCUUGUUUUGCAGGUGUUGAUUGGACAUAUGUGAACAGUUUGAUUUGCAGGAUUGUAGAGCAACGGUGCUACAUUCAUCUGGGAUGGCCCUUCUGUAAGCCUGACAUGCAGAACUGUGGGUUCAGUGGAGAUUUCAGGCAAUAAAUCAGAUGCAAGACCAAGCUCAAUAAUGCAGAGGACCGCUGACAUUUUUACACAGAUGCCACAAUGGGAACAUCAACCAAAGUUUUUACCUCCUUCAGUCUCUGGAUCAUGGAGGAAUUCUACAACUUAAGGAUUUGAAGAAUAGUUCAUGUAGAUGAGAUCCUGGUGAAAUCUGAUCAUGAAGAUCUUCUAGACAAAAAUGCAUCUAUUCAUUUCAGUUUGUUCCCAGUUGGCUGAUGCCACUUUCUAUUUCCUUUCUGCUCUAGUAAUAUACCAUACUGUAAUAUUGCAGAUUACAUCAGAGGAAGGAUGUAUUGAUUCUAAUUCCUUUCUGUAGCAAUGUGAGAAUCAUAUGCUGAAAUAAAAGUAUACAUUGGUAGCAGUCUCUACUUUUCAUUCAUUUUGCAA